ensembl:rRNA 5S_rRNA 5S ribosomal RNA
GUCUACGGCCAUACCACCCUGAACGCACCCGAUCUUGUCUGAUCUCGGUAGCUAAGCUGGGUGGGACCUGGUUAGUACUUGGAUGGAUGAAAACCUAAAGCCUAAAUU